rnacentral:lncRNA from 1 species
AGAUUAUCUCUUACUUGUUGUAAGAAAAAUGUAAGAUGGUGAUUUUGCAAUCUCUUUGCCAACGAGAACAACAAUAUCAAACAAAGGUUUAUGGGUAUAGUAGUAAGAGAAGUGGUAGUAUUCUUCAUGUAAAAUGUUGUUUGAAAAGUGAAGCCAUUACCAAGACCAAUCCAACUUAGCGUGCAAUUCUCUACGACAAAUAAUUAGUGCAGUAACAUAAUUUAGUAUCACUCAAGAGAACGAGGUAAUAAAUCAAAGGCAAAUAUUCC